GUGCCAGCAGCCGCGGUAAUACAGAGGGUGCAAGCGUUAAUCGGAAUUACUGGGCGUAAAGCGCGCGUAGGUGGUUUGUUAAGUUGAAUGUGAAAUCCCCGGGCUCAACCUGGGAACUGCAUCCAAAACUGGCAAGCUAGAGUAUGGUAGAGGGUAGUGGAAUUUCCUGUGUAGCGGUGAAAUGCGUAGAUAUAGGAAGGAACACCAGUGGCGAAGGCGACUACCUGGACUGAUACUGACACUGAGGUGCGAAAGCGUGGGGAGCAAACAGGAUUAAUACCCUGGUAGUCC
rnacentral:rRNA from 1 species